rnacentral:rRNA from 1 species
AUUGAACGCUGGCGGCAGGCCUAACACAUGCAAGUCGAACGAGUGGCGGACGGGUGAGUAAUUUCUUGGAAACUGCCCGUUGGAGGGGGAUAACUACUGGAAACGGUAGCUCAUACCGCAUUCCCUCGCACUUUCCCAGAUGGGAUUAGCUAGUAGGUGGGGUAACGGCUCACCUAGGCGACGAUCCCUAGCUGGUCUGAGAGGAUGACCAGUCACACUGGAACUGAGACACGGUCCAGACUCCUACGGGAGGCAGCAGUGGGGAAUAUUGCACAAUGGGCGCAAGCCUGAUGCAGCCAUGCCGCGUGUAUGAAGAAGGCCUUCGGGUUGUAAAGUACUUUAAGCGAGGAGGCGUUACUCGCAGAAGAAGCACCGGCUAACUCCGUGCCAGCAGCCGCGGUAAUAC